UACGUAGGGGGGCUAGCGUUGUCCGGAAUCAUUGGGCGUAAAGAGCGUGUAGGCGGCCCGGUAAGUCCGCUGUGAAAGUCGGGGGGCUCAACCCUCGAAUGCCGGUGGAUACUGUCGGGCUAGAGUGCGGAAGAGGCGAGUGGAAUUCCUGGUGUAGCGGUGAAAUGCGUAGAUAUCUGGAGGAAUACCGGUGGCGAAGGCGGCAUCCUGGACCGACAUUGACGCUGAACGGCGAAAGCUAGGGGAGCAAACGGG
rnacentral:rRNA from 1 species